UACGAAGGGGGCUAGCGUUGCUCGGAAUCACUGGGCGUAAAGGGUGCGUAGGCGGGUCUUUAAGUCAGGGGUGAAAUCCUGGAGCUCAACUCCAGAACUGCCCUUGAUACUGGCGAUCUCGAGUUCGGGAGAGGUGAGUGGAACUGCGAGUGUAGAGGUGAAAUUCGUAGAUAUUCGCAAGAACACCAGUGGCGAAAGCGGCACCCUAGCGUUAGCCUGACGCUCAUGUGCGAAAGCGUGGGGAGCGAACGGG
rnacentral:rRNA from 1 species